rnacentral:rRNA from 1 species
AGUCGAGCGCACUCUUUUAGAGUGAGCGGCAAACGGGUGAGUAACGCGUGGGAAUCUACCCAUCUCUACGGAAUAACACAGAGAAAUUUGUGCUAAUACCGUAUACGUCCCUUCGGGGAGAAAGAUUUAUCGGAGAUGGAUGAGCCCGCGUUGGAUUAGCUAGUUGGUGAGGUAAUGGCUCACCAAGGCGACGAUCCAUAGCUGGUCUGAGAGGAUGAUCAGCCACACUGGGACUGAGACACGGCCCAGACUCCUACGGGAGGCAGCAGUGGGGAAUAUUGGACAAUGGGGGCAACCCUGAUCCAGCCAUGCCGCGUGAGUGAUGAAGGCCCUAGGGUUGUAAAGCUCUUUCA